UGACAGGUUUGCCAUCCCCAGGGAAGGACAACAUACACAAACACCAGAGCAAACAUUAUCUGUGCAGGUGGGUGGGAAAACCUUAAAAUAGUCCAUGAUAGAGAUAUGCUGUCUGCAUGACAGAGAUAUGCACAUUGCUCUGACAGGUCAGUAAAAGCUUGUUUCUAGUAGUGCACUGGGCGACCAAAGGUGCCUUCGGGGGAUGACGGCAGUAAUUAUCAUCAUGGCACGACACCGUUUUAUAGUAGAGGUGGAUAUGUCAAGAAAGAUCUUUAUACGAAAAAAGGGUCUCAACCUUGGAGCAGCGGCAAACGGCAGCUUCACAGCAAUCUUUGCAAGAAGAAGUGUCGACUGAAAGACUACAAAAGGACUGACUUGGAGUGUGACAGUUAGAGCCACAACGUUACAGAAGAACAGAUCCUCAAAAUGAGAAAAAACAACAACAACAACAACAACAUGGACUUAACAGCAGUGCAGCGACUACUCCCUAGGACUCCUCUGGCUCCCUCGUCCCUCCGGCUCAGCCUCAGUCAGUCAUUGCACUGCCUCCGCCACGGACUUCCGGGUCUCUGGCUACACCUCGACACCCCACCCCUUCGUCUCCUCCGAGCUCCUCCUCCCUCUGGUUUCCCUGUUGGGGAUUGCCCCAAUAAAUGCCAGUUCUUUAAUGGUCUUAACCACUUCAGCACUCUGAUCAGGGAGGAGCCAUCAUAUUUUUUCCACCUUUUAUUUGUGUGCAGGGUUUCACCAUAUACACAUACUGAUUAUGCAUUGGAGGUAGUUUCUGCAAUAAAUAAAUAAACAGCAGUAAAUAACUAAAUAUCAAACAUGAAUAUCUACAUGAGCCAUUCCAACGAAUGGGUGACAUUUAUGUCCCCAGGACAUUGUAUGUAUAAAUAUGCAUGAAAAUUAGCUCUAAAAUACAUUUUAUUAUUAAGCAAAGUGUCCUGAACAUUAAUCUAACUGCACAUUUAAAAUAUAUAAUUUAAAAGCAUUAUUAAAAACUACUCAGAACACAAAAAAAUAGCAUUUGUUACAUGUCCCCGCUACCUAAACCUAAACUUUAUCAUGAAAUAUAAUCAUUAAAAUCUUUCACAAAUCUUUUUUUUUUUUUUUUUUUUGUAUUGUUGUGUGACUCCAUAUACCAUCUAUGCUAAACAAAAAGAAAUUUCAUGAGAAAUCCAUAAUAUAUCAUAUAAAAUACAAAUUUUAAUCGUGUCCCCAGUUUUUCACUCAGUCCUGUUACCCUCACACACUGCCCCUUCUAAAAAACUUGGAACAUGCCACAUGACACAUUUUCAACAGGAAGUUGCAUCUGGAUAAUAUGCAGGCCAUGAGAAGACCAAAAGGAUUGUGGGGUGUAGGAGGUGUAAGAGGAUGCUGAAGAUGAUGUUGGAUGUCUUGAUGGCAAAGGCAAGCCUCGGUAUCUUGGGGUACGAGAAGCAGCGUGGCUGGGCCGAUGACCACACGGUGUUGCUUGAGGCUCGGUUUCAGUGUCCUGUUGAGCGCGAGUGCUCCUUGCAUCAGUGAGAUGCAGUGAAGAAUCCUGGACAACAAGGGAAUCGUCAUCGAAUGGGAAGAGUUCAGUUGUUGACAUUGUAACAAAUGGGUGGGGCCAGAUGCUGAAAACUGGCAAGGAACAUAGAAAGAACACAGAAGUGUGAUGUACAAGAGCUGCUAACAGAUGGCAUGAGUCAUUGGGGCCAGAACACUCCAGCGGAGCCACUUGAGGAGCAGCAGUUCACUAACACAUGGGAGUAACACCUCAGGAGCAGGAGUGCUGCAGAUGGACUCAGUGUUAUAGUUGUCUGUCUCAUUCCAAAAAGAUUUUUUUUCAUCCCUAAGUUAAAUCUGUGGUAAUUUCCCAAGGUUUUUUUUUUUUUUUUUUUUUUUGCUCGCAGAUGGUGUUCUUCUCUGAUGAAACAGCUAACAGAAAACUAUGCAACUGAAAGUGAAAACUGCAUCUAUCUUUAAAUCUAUGAUGUGCCCAUACUACUGAAAUACUGUGAACGUGUCAUGCUGUUGCUUAAUCUAUAGGAGUUCUUUGUUCAUUUUCAUAGGGGCAACAUGAAGCCGCUUUCUCCUGUGGUGUAGUCAACGUCAAGGUCAUUUUGAAGUUCAGCACUCACAAUCACUUUUUCUGACAGGUUUUAACAAGCCACUAACCUGACCCAGCUUUAGAAAUACUCAGUUUGUUAGUUCAGAAUAUGACAGUGUUCUUUUUUCCCAGUCAUCUGAAUAGCAAAAAGUGUCCCAAUUAACCCAAAUUCACCCUAUAUGAAUAUUUGUAUUAUUAUUUUGAAUAAUUUUUAUGAUUUUUAAUGAAUAUUUAUGAAUGUUUGUAUUGUUCUUGUAUUAUUAUUCAAAUCAGUCAAAUUAUAUAUAUAUAGUA